rnacentral:lncRNA from 1 species
AAAAAUUCAACAUUUUGUUCUAUAGUCCAGCUAACUCUUAGUAGGCUAAGUGGAAGCUCAUAGUGAUGAUACCAUGCCCACUAAAAGAAAAUGCAAUGGUGACUAAAUUCACUAAGUGUAAGUGAAAAGUGAGGUGUUGAAAUUGAGUAAACUAAUUAGAUGCAAUAGUGGCAUGUAAUUAUAUUUUUUAAGGAAAACUUUUUCAAAUUAUGAUAAACUUUUGGUUAUUUUCAAAAAUUAAAAUUCCUUUUGAAAGAGUUUCUUUAAAAAAAAAUAACCCAAAAUUUUCAUCAUUUGAAAAUCAUUAUUGACCUUUCAAUUUCAUCUCUCUUGAUUUCAUUAUCUAUCAGAUCCCACAACCCAAUUCUAGGUCCAGAGGAUAAUAGGUAACUAUUAGUGGUGGUCUGUUCGAGUUCAAGCGAAUAUUCAAGCAUCAAUCGAAGCUUCUAAUGUAAGUUUCCUCAAAACUCUAAUUUGAAUUAAUUUAGAGUUUAUUUUUAUUCAUGUUAAUCUUAGAAAUUAGGGUAAUUUUCUAGAUCCAAUUUUCUCUAUGCAUGUGUCAAUAUUAUCGGUUUUGUCUGAACUCAAUUUUUUUUCGUUGGAAAUUUGAAGAUUGCUCUUAUAUGACGUUCAAGAUUAUGUUUUGAAGUCUUGGCUAUUGGUGGUCUGAAGUUUCAAGAAGAAAUAUUUGUUAAGGUUCAAGAUUUCUCAAGAUUAUCCUAUGUUGUGUAUGAAAAUAAAAAUUAAUCAUAUUGUGUCAAGAGGGGGAGGUUUGUUACAUUUUUUACAAAUAUGUAUUUAGUUUCUUUUUAUUUGAAGAAAGAGAAUAUAAAAAAGAACUUUCAUAUAUUCUCCUUCUAAAAGGAUAUUUUUAAAAAGUGAGAUUCCUUGAUUCGUGAAAAAGAUACUAUUUUGCUGGUUAUAUAUUUCUUUAAACAGUUGUUGGUAAAGCUCUCUUUAAGCAACCAAUAUCAUUUUCAUUGUCCACAUCUAUCUUUCUCCUUAUUAUAAACAAAGAGUUUCUUUUCUGGUAAGUUCAUUACCUUUUUAGACCAAUGUGAUGGAUGCGAUAAAGAGAUUUAAAGAAGAUUAAGUAAGACACAUGACCAUGGUCAAUUACUUCAUGGAGAGCCUGUUUAUAUCUUCAUUAGAUUCGAAUAAAAUUUAGGGGCUAAUUAUUUUUAGUUUGCAUAAAAUAGCUAAAAAGAAUACUAGUUCUAGGGAGAAUGACUUUUAAAUUGUUGAAAGUAUUAUACUCGUUUGAAUCUUAAUAAAAUCUACUAUCUAAGCUAAAAGCUUUUGAGUUUUACCGAGCUGGGCUAACAAAUUUUAUGUGUUAUUUUUCUUAUUGUUUCCUUAGCACUAUUCCA